rnacentral:rRNA from 1 species
UACGGGGGGGGCAAGCGUUGUUCGGAAUUACUGGGCGUAAAGGGCUCGUAGGCGGCCAACUAAGUCGGAUGUGAAAUCCCCAGGCUUAACCGGGGAACUGCGUCUGAUACUGGAUGGCUUGAGUUUGGGAGAGGGACGCGGAAUUCCAGGUGUAGCGGUGAAAUGCGUAGAUAUCGGGAGGAACACCAGUGGCGAAGGCGACUACCUGGCCUGUUCUCGACGCUGAGGCGCGAAAGCUAGGGGAGCAAACGGG